rnacentral:rRNA from 1 species
CGUGUAGGCGGCUGGGUAAGUCAGAUGUGAAAGCCCGGGGCUUAACCUCGGAAGUGCAUUUGAAACUAAGGGACUUGAGUAUGGGAGAGGGAAGUGGAAUUCCUGGUGUAGCGGUGAAAUGCGUAGAUAUCAGGAGGAACACCGGUGGCGAAGGCGACUUCCUGGACCAAUACUGACGCUGAGGCGCGAAGGCGUAGGGAGCAAACAGGAUUAGAUACCCUGGUAGUCC